rnacentral:rRNA from 1 species
UACGAAGGGGGCUAGCGUUGCUCGGAAUCACUGGGCGUAAAGCGCACGUAGGCGGCUUGUUAAGUCAGGGGUGAAAUCCUGGAGCUCAACUCCAGAACUGCCUUUGAUACUGGCGAGCUUGAGUUCGGGAGAGGUGAGUGGAACUGCGAGUGUAGAGGUGAAAUUCGUAGAUAUUCGCAAGAACACCAGUGGCGAAGGCGGCUGACUGGUCCGGUUCUGACGCUGAGGCGCGAAAGCGUGGGGAGCAAACAGG